GACGAACCGUGCGAACGUUGUUCGGAAUCACUGGGCUUAAAGGGCGCGUAGGCGGGUCGCAAAGUCAGGGGUGAAAUCCUCCAGCUUAACUGGAGAAGUGCCUUUGAUACUGGCGGUCUCGAGGAAGGUAGGGGCAUGCGGAACUGAUGGUGGAGCGGUGAAAUGUGUUGAUAUCAUCAGGAACUCCGGUGGCGAAAGCGGCGUGCUGGACCUUUUCUGACGCUGAUGCGCGAAAGCCAGGGGAGCAAACGGG
rnacentral:rRNA from 1 species